CCUACGGGGUGCAGCAGUGAGGAAUAUUGGUCAAUGGACGCAAGUCUGAACCAGCCAUGCCGCGUGCAGGAAGACGGCUCUAUGAGUUGUAAACCGCUUUUGUACGAGGGUAAACGCAGAUACGCGUAUCUGACUGAAAGUAUCGUACGAAUAAGGAUCGGCUAACUACGUGCCAGCAGCCGCGGUAAUACGGAGGAUUCAAGCGUUAUCCGGUUUUAUUGGGUUUAAAGGGUGCGUAGGCGGGCGGAUAAGUUAGAGGUGAAAGCCCGAGGCUAAACUUCGGAAUUGCCUCUGAUACUGUUAGGCUAGAGUGUAGUUGCGGUAGGCGGAAUGUAUGGUGUAGCGGUGAAAUGCUUAGAGAUCAUACAGAACACCGAUUGCGAAGGCAGCUUACCGGGCUACUUCUGACGUUGAGGCACGAAAGCGUGGGGAGCAAACAGGAUUAGAUACCCCUGUAGUC
rnacentral:rRNA from 1 species